GACGAACGCUGGCGGCGUGCCUAAUACAUGCAAGUAGAACGCUGAAGAGAGGAGCUUACUCUUCUUGGAUGAGUUGCGAACGGGUGAGUAACGCGUAGGUAACCUGCCUUGUAGCGGGGGAUAACUAUUUGAAACGAUAGCUAAUACCGCAUAACAAUGGAUGACACAUGUCAUUUAUUUGAAAGGGGCAAUUGCUCCACUACAAGAUAGACCUGCGUUGUAUUAGCUAGUAGGUUAGGUAAUGGCUCACCUAGGCGUCGAUACAUAGCCGACCUGGGAGGGUGGUCGGCCACACUGGGACUGAGACACGGCCCAGAAUACUACGGGAGGCAGCAGUAGGGGAUCUUCGGCAAUGGGGGCAACCCUGACCGAGCAACGCCGCGUGAGUGAAGAAGGUUUUCGGAUCGGAAAGCUCUGUUGUAAGUCAAGAACGGGUGUGAGAGUGGAAAGUUCACGCUGUGACGGUAGCUUACCAGAAAGGGACGGCUAACUACGUG
rnacentral:rRNA from 1 species